rnacentral:rRNA from 1 species
AUUGAACGCUGGCGGCAUGCCUUACACAUGCAAGUCGAACGGCAGCACGGGAGCAAUCCUGGUGGCGAGUGGCGAACGGGUGAGUAAUAUAUCGGAACGUGCCCAGUCGUGGGGAUAACGUAGCGAAAGCUACGCUAAUACCGCAUACGAUCUAUGGAUGAAAGCGGGGGAUCGCAAGACCUCGCGCGAUUGGAGCGGCCGAUAUCAGAUUAGGUAGUUGGUGAGGUAAAGGCUCACCAAGCCGACGAUCUGUAGCUGGUCUGAGAGGACGACCAGCCACACUGGGACUGAGACACGGCCCAGACUCCUACGGGAGGCAGCAGUGGGGAAUUUUGGACAAUGGGCGGCAAGCCUGAUCCAGCAAUGCCGCGUGCAGGAUGAAGG